rnacentral:tRNA from 1 species
CUGGGGCUGGCUCAGCGGUAGAGUGCUUGCCUUGCAUGCAUGAGGCCCUGGGUUCGAUUCCUCAGUACCACA